rnacentral:rRNA from 1 species
AGUGAACGCUGGCGGCGUGCUUAACACAUGCAAGUCGAACGAGAACGGGUUAUAGCUUGCUAUAAUUGUCAGCUAAGUGGCGCACGGGUGAGUAAUGUAUAGGUAAUAUGCCUCUUACUAAGGGAUAACAAAUGGAAACGUUUGCUAAUACCUUAUACUCCUUAUUAACAGAAGUUAAUAAGGGAAAGAUUUAUUGGUAAGAGAUUAGCCUGUAUUGUAUCAGUUAGUUGGUGGGGUAAUGACUCACCAAGACUAUGACACAUAACUGGUUUGGGAGGAUGAUCAGUGACACUGGAGCUGAGACACGGGACAGACUGCUACGGGAGACAGAAGUGAGAAAUAUUGCGCAAUGGAAGAAAGUCUGAUGCAGCAACGCCGCGUGGAGAAUGACACAUUUCGGUGCGUAAACUCCUUUAUAUGAGAAGAUAAUGACGGUAUUAUAUGAAUAAGCACCGGCUAACUCCGUGCCAGCCGCCGCCGUAA